GUGGAUUAGAUACCCUGGUAGUCCACGCCGUAAACGAUGAUAACUAGCUGUCGGGGCUCUUAGAGCUUCGGUGGCGCAGCUAACGCAUUAAGUUAUCCGCCUGGGGAGUACGGCCGCAAGGUUAAAACUCAAAGGAAUUGACGGGGGCCUGCACAAGCGGUGGAGCAUGUGGUUUAAUUCGAAGCAACGCGCAGAACCUUACCAGCGUUUGACAUGUCCGGACGAUUUCCAGAGAUGGAUCUCUUCCCUUCGGGGACUGGAACACAGGUGCUGCACGGUUGUCGACAGCU
rnacentral:rRNA from 1 species